rnacentral:rRNA from 1 species
GACGAACGCUGGCGGCGUGCUUAACACAUGCAAGUCGAACGGUAAGGCCCUUCGGGGUACACGAGUGGCGAACGGGUGAGUAACACGUGGGUGAUCCGCCCUGCACUUCGGGAUAAGCCUGGGAAACUGGGUCUAAUACCGGAUAGGACUCCUGGCUUCAUGGUUGGGGGUGGAAAGCUUUUGCGGUGUGGGAUGGGCCCGCGGCCUAUCAGCUUGUUGGUGGGGUAAUGGCCUACCAAGGCGACGACGGGUAGCCGGCCUGAGAGGGUGACCGGUCACACUGGGACUGAGAUACGGCCCAGACUCCUACGGGAGGCAGCAGUGGGGAAUAUUGCACAAUGGGCGCAAGCCUGAUGCAGCGACGCCGCGUGAGGGAUGACGGCCUUCGGGUUGUAAACCUCUUUCAGCUAUGACGAAGCGCAAGUGACGGUAGUAGCAGAAGAAGGACCGGCCGACUACGUGCCAGCCGCCGCAGUAA